AAACAGCGGAAGUUAAAGCUUAAAUUGCCUAUGAUAGCUGCUUUUAGGAGGUUUCGGAUGAGCGGCCACAAAGUUCGUCGAGAGAAGCUUUUGUGGAAAUAUGUUGAGUGCCCGCAACAACAAGGAGGCACGGAGUGCGGUUAUUUUGUGAUGCGGUACAUUUUUGACGUACUCGCUUCAUAUUUUG